rnacentral:rRNA from 1 species
UGAGGGAAUAUUUGGGGUCAAUGGACGCAAGUCUGAACCAGCCAAGUAGCGUGCAGGAUGACGGCCCUAUGGGUUGUAAACUGCUUUUAUGCGGGGAUAAAGUGUGCCAUGUAUGGCAUUUUGUAGGUACCGCAUGAAUAAGGACCGGCUAAUUCCGUGCCAGCAGCCGCGGUAAUACGGAAGGUCCGGGCGUUAUCCGGAUUUAUUGGGUUUAAAGGGAGCGUAGGCCGGAGAUUAAGCGUGUUGUGAAAUGUAGACGCUCAACGUCUGCACUGCAGCGCGAACUGGUUUCCUUGAGUACGCACAAAGUGGGCGGAAUUCGUGGUGUAGCGGUGAAAUGCUUAGAUAUCACGAAGAACUCCGAUUGCGAAGGCAGCUCACUGGAGCGCAACUGACGCUGAAGCUCGAAAGUGCGGGUAUCGAACAGGAUUAGAUACCCUGGUAGU